rnacentral:pre_miRNA from 1 species
UUUUGCCUGUGUGGAUGAUGUUCAGCACCAAGGACAGGGUGUUUUUUGCCUGUGUGGAUGGUGUUCAGCACCAAGGACAGGUGUUUAGCACU